rnacentral:rRNA from 1 species
UACGUAGGGCGCAAGCGUUGUCCGGAAUUAUUGGGCGUAAAGAGCUCGUAGGCGGUCUGUCGCGUCUGCUGUGAAAUCCCGAGGCUCAACCUCGGGCUUGCAGUGGGUACGGGCAGACUAGAGUGCGGUAGGGGAGAAUGGAAUUCCUGGUGUAGCGGUGGAAUGCGCAGAUAUCAGGAGGAACACCGAUGGCGAAGCAGUAUCUCUGGCCGUAACUGACGCGUAGGAGCGAA